UGGUUUUUACAGAAGCUUAAGCUUGAUUGUCCAAAUCUUCAAGAUGGGCAGGGAUAUUGUUAACGUCGAGGUUGAAAUCGACCAAAAUUGAUGUGGUUCAGGUUGGUUAUUUGAAUUGAAAGCUGGUUUGGGUUGUAAAAUUCAGAGUACGCAAGUUUGGGUAUGAAAAUGCCUUCGGGGAAUAGUUUGGGUUGAUUUUCCCCGUUUUCCC
rnacentral:lncRNA from 1 species